GGGUUGUGAGGUUAAGCGACUAAGCGUACACGGUGGAUGCCCUGGCAGUCAGAGGCGAUGAAGGACGUGCUAAUCUGCGAAAAGCGUCGGUAAGGUGAUAUGAACCGUUAUAACCGGCGAUGUCCGAAUGGGGAAACCCAGUGCAAUUCGUUGCACUAUCGUUAACUGAAUACAUAGGUUAACGAGGCGAACCGGGGGGAACUGAAACAUCUAAGUACCCCGAGGAAAAGAAAUCAACCGAGAUUCCCCCAGUAGCGGCGAGCGAACGGGGAGCAGCCCAGAGUCUGAAUCAGCUUGUGUGUUAGUGGAACGGUCUGGAAAGUCCGACGGUACAGGGUGAUAGUCCCGUACACCAAAAUGCACAGGCUGUGAACUCGAAGAGUAGGGCGGGACACGUGGUAUCCUGUCUGAAUAUGGGGGGACCAUCCUCCAAGGCUAAAUACUCCUGACUGACCGAUAGUGAACCAGUACCGUGAGGGAAAGGCGAAAAGAACCCCGGCGAGGGGAGUGAAAAAGAACCUGAAACCGUGUACGUACAAGCAGUGGGAGCACCUUCGGGUGUGACUGCGUACCUUUUGUAUAAUGGGUCAGCGACUUAUAUUCUGUAGCAAGGUUAACCGUAUAGGGGAGCCGCAGGGAAACCGAGUCUUAACUGGGCGUUAAGUUGCAGGGUAUAGACCCGAAACCCGGUGAUCUAGCCAUGGGCAGGUUGAAGGUUGGGUAACACUAACUGGAGGACCGAACCGACUAAUGUUGAAAAAUUAGCGGAUGACUUGUGGCUGGGGGUGAAAGGCCAAUCAAACCGGGAGAUAGCUGGUUCUCCCCGAAAGCUAUUUAGGUAGCGCCUCGUGAAUUCAUCUUCGGGGGUAGAGCACUGUUUCGGCUAGGGGGUCAUCCCGACUUACCAACCCGAUGCAAACUACGAAUACCGAAGAAUGUUAUCACGGGAGACACACGGCGGGUGCUAACGUCCGUCGUGAAGAGGGAAACAACCCAGACCGCCAGCUAAGGUCCCAAAGUCAUGGUUAAGUGGGAAACGAUGUGGGAAGGCACAGACAGCCAGGAUGUUGGCUUAGAAGCAGCCAUCAUUUAAAGAAAGCGUAAUAGCUCACUGGUCGAGUCGGCCUGCGCGGAAGAUGUAACGGGGCUAAACCAUGCACCGAAGCUGCGGCAGCGACACUAUGUGUUGUUGGGUAGGGGAGCGUUCUGUAAGCCUGCGAAGGUGACCUGUGAGGGUUGCUGGAGGUAUCAGAAGUGCGAAUGCUGACAUAAGUAACGAUAAAGCGGGUGAAAAGCCCGCUCGCCGGAAGACCAAGGGUUCCUGUCCAACGUUAAUCGGGGCAGGGUGAGUCGACCCCUAAGGCGAGGCCGAAAGGCGUAGUCGAUGGGAAACAGGUUAAUAUUCCUGUACUUGGUGUUACUGCGAAGGGGGGACGGAGAAGGCUAUGUUAGCCGGGCGACGGUUGUCCCGGUUUAAGCAUGUAGGCUGGUUAUCCAGGCAAAUCCGGAUAAUCAAGGCUGAGGUGUGAUGACGAGGCACUACGGUGCUGAAGUAACAAAUGCCCUGCUUCCAGGAAAAGCCUCUAAGCAUCAGGUAACAUCAAAUCGUACCCCAAACCGACACAGGUGGUCAGGUAGAGAAUACCAAGGCGCUUGAGAGAACUCGGGUGAAGGAACUAGGCAAAAUGGUGCCGUAACUUCGGGAGAAGGCACGCUGGUGUGUAGGUGAAGUCCCUGCGGAUGGAGCUGAGACCAGUCGAAGAUACCAGCUGGCUGCAACUGUUUAUUAAAAACACAGCACUGUGCAAACACGAAAGUGGACGUAUACGGUGUGACGCCUGCCCGGUGCCGGAAGGUUAAUUGAUGGGGUUAUCCGUAAGGAGAAGCUCUUGAUCGAAGCCCCGGUAAACGGCGGCCGUAACUAUAACGGUCCUAAGGUAGCGAAAUUCCUUGUCGGGUAAGUUCCGACCUGCACGAAUGGCGUAAUGAUGGCCAGGCUGUCUCCACCCGAGACUCAGUGAAAUUGAACUCGCUGUGAAGAUGCAGUGUACCCGCGGCAAGACGGAAAGACCCCGUGAACCUUUACUAUAGCUUGACACUGAACAUUGAGCCUUGAUGUGUAGGAUAGGUGGGAGGCUUUGAAGCGUGGACGCCAGUCUGCGUGGAGCCAACCUUGAAAUACCACCCUUUAAUGUUUGAUGUUCUAACGUUGGCCCCUUACCGGGGUUGCGGACAGUGUCUGGUGGGUAGUUUGACUGGGGCGGUCUCCUCCCAAAGCGUAACGGAGGAGCACGAAGGUUAGCUAAUCCUGGUCGGACAUCAGGAGGUUAGUGCAAUGGCAUAAGCUAGCUUGACUGCGAGCGUGACGGCGCGAGCAGGUGCGAAAGCAGGUCAUAGUGAUCCGGUGGUUCUGAAUGGAAGGGCCAUCGCUCAACGGAUAAAAGGUACUCCGGGGAUAACAGGCUGAUACCGCCCAAGAGUUCAUAUCGACGGCGGUGUUUGGCACCUCGAUGUCGGCUCAUCACAUCCUGGGGCUGAAGUAGGUCCCAAGGGUAUGGCUGUUCGCCAUUUAAAGUGGUACGCGAGCUGGGUUUAGAACGUCGUGAGACAGUUCGGUCCCUAUCUGCCGUGGGCGCUGGAGAAUUGAGGGGGGCUGCUCCUAGUACGAGAGGACCGGAGUGGACGCAUCACUGGUGUUCGGGUUGUCAUGCCAAUGGCACUGCCCGGUAGCUAAAUGCGGAAGAGAUAAGUGCUGAAAGCAUCUAAGCACGAAACUUGCCCCGAGAUGAGUUCUCCCUGAGACUUUAAGUCUCCUGAAGGAACGUUAAAGACGAUGACGUUGAUAGGCCGGGUGUGUAAGCGCAGCGAUGCGUUGAGCUAACCGGUACUAAUGAACCGUGAGGCUUAACCUUACAACGCCGAAG
rnacentral:rRNA from 1 species